AUCCUAACUCAAUUGAGAUUUAUUCAACUUUCUGGUGAUUCUCAACUAUUUUAUGUAUCUGAAUGAAGCCACUUACAUCACGAUUCAUCCAGGUUUGAUUAGAAUGACGAAGAAGUUGUCACAUUCCCAAAAAGGAAAACUGGGAUCACCUGAUUUGAUAGUGGGAUAACUUCUUCAUCCUAACUCCUAUUAGAUUUAUUCAACUUCCUGGUGAUUCUCCACUACUUUAUAUAUCCAAAUACAACUUCUUACAUCGCGAUUUAUCCUGAUUUGAUUCGAACGACGAAUAGGUUAUCAUAUUCCCACACAGGAAAACUAGGAUCACCUGAUUUGAAAGUGGGAUAACUUCUUCAUCCAAACUUCUAUGAGAUUUAUUCAACUUCCUGGUGAUUCUCCACUACUUUAUGUAUCCAAAUACAACUUAUUACAUCAAAAUUCAUCCUAGUUUAAUUAAAAUGAUGAAGAAGUUUUCAUAUUAUCAAACAGAAAAACUAGGAUCACCUGAUUUGAAAGUGGGAUAAUUUAUUCAUCCUAACUUCUAUGAUAUUUAUUCAACUUCCUGGUGAUUCUCCACUACUUUAUGUAUCCAAAAC
rnacentral:lncRNA from 1 species